AUUGAACGCUGGCGGAAUGCUUAACACAUGCAAGUCGAACGGCAGCACGGACUUCGGUCUGAUGGCGAGUGGCGAACGGGUGAGUAAUGUAUCGGAACGUGCCCAGUCGUGGGGGAUAACGUAGUGAAAAUUACGCUAAUACCGCAUACGAUCUAUGGAUGAAAGCGGGGGAUCGCAAGACCUCGCGCGAUUGGAGCGGCCGAUAUCAGAUUAGGUAGUUGGUGGGGUAAAGGCCCACCAAGCCAACGAUCUGUAGCUGGUCUGAGGGGACGACCAGCCACACUGGAACUGAGACACGGUCCAGACUCCUACGGGAGGCAGCAGUGGGGAAUUUUGGACAAUGGGCGAAAGCCUGAUCCAGCCAUUCCGCGUGCAGGAUGAAGGCCCUCGGGUUGUAAACUGCUUUUGUACAGAACGAAAAGGUUUCUACUAAUACUAGGAGCUCAUGACGGUACUGUAAGAAUAAGCACCGGCUAACUACGUGCCAGCCGCCGCCGUAA
rnacentral:rRNA from 1 species